UUGGCCCUAGUAAACCUCAGUGGGAGUCAGAGAUAGCAUAAGGGUAUGGCAUGCCAUAUACAGUUUAGCAGUACUGCGCCCUAAUGGGCUACAUGAUAUGAUAUUUUCGACACAUUACGUGUCAUACAGUUUCCCAGCUUUUUAGCCAUACAGGCACAGCAUUCGGCCCCCAGGCCAUACAGUUUGGCACUUUGUGCUAUACAGAUACAGUUUUCCCUUAGCUAGCUAGUUGAUCCUACGAAGAGUUUAUAGGGGGCUAAGAUUUAAUUAUAUGACUUG
rnacentral:lncRNA from 1 species